UACGGGGGGGGCAAGCGUUGUUCGGAAUUACUGGGCGUAAAGGGCUCGUAGGCGGCCAACUAAGUCAGACGUGAAAUCCCUCGGCUUAACCGGGGAACUGCGUCUGAUACUGGGAGGCUUGAAUCCGGGAGAGGGAUGCGGAAUUCCAGGUGUAGCGGUGAAAUGCGUAGAUAUCUGGAGGAACACCGGUGGCGAAGGCGGCAUCCUGGACCGGUAUUGACGCUGAGGCGCGAAAGCCAGGGGAGCAAACGGG
rnacentral:rRNA from 1 species